rnacentral:rRNA from 1 species
AGCGAACGCUGGCGGCAGGCCUAACACAUGCAAGUCGAGCGGCCGUAGCAAUACGGCAGCGGCAGACGGGAGAGUAACACGUGGGAACGUGCCCAUCAGUUCGGAACAACCCAGGGAAACUUGGGCUAAUACCGGAUACGCCCUUACGGGGAAAGAUUUAUCGCUGAUGGAGCGGCCCGCGUCUGAUUAGCUAGUUGGUGAGGUAACGGCUCACCAAGGCGACGAUCAGUAGCUGGUCUGAGAGGAUGAUCAGCCUCACUGGGACUGAGACACGGCCCAGACUCCUACGGGAGGCAGCAGUGGGGAAUAUUGGACAAUGGGCGCAAGCCUGAUCCAGCCAUGCCGCGUGGAUGAUGAAGGCCCUAGGGUUGUAAAGUCCUUUCGGCGGGGAAGAUAAUGACGGUACCCGCAGAAGAAGCCCCGGCUAACUUCGUGCCAGCAGCCGCGGUAA